rnacentral:rRNA from 1 species
UACAGAGGGUGCGAGCGUUAAUCGGAACUACUGGGCGUAAAGCGUGCGCAGACGGUUGCGUAAGUCAGAUGUGAAAGCCCCGGGCUCAACCUGGGAAUUGCAUUUGAGACUGCGUAGCUAGGGUGCGGAAGAGGGAAGCGGAAUUUCCGGUGUAGCGGUGAAAUGCGUAGAUAUCGGAAGGAACACCAGUGGCGAAAGCGGCUUCCUGGUCCAGCACCGACGUUCAGGCACGAAAGCGUGGGGAGCAAACAGG